GCCUCCUUAGCUCAGUGGUAGAGCAACGCUCUUGUAAAGCGUAGGUCGUCAGUUCAAUCCUGACAGGGGGCU
rfam:Mycobacterium sp. 1245111.1 contig_14, whole genome shotgun sequence.